rnacentral:rRNA from 1 species
UACGUAGGGGGCGAGCGUUGUCCGGAUUUAUUGGGCUUAAAGGGUGCGUAGGCGGUCCUAUACGUCAGUGGUGAAAUAUCGCAGCUCAACUGUGAGGGUGCCAUUGAUACUGUAGGACUUGAGUGAAGUUGAUGUAGGCGGAAUUGACGGUGUAGCGGUGAAAUGCUUAGAUAUCGUCAAGAACACCGAUAGUGAAGACAGCUUACUAAGCUUCAACUGACGCUGAGGCACGAAAGUGUGGGGAUCAAACAGG